rnacentral:lncRNA from 1 species
UCCAAAUCAACAACAGCAACAGCCGCAGACGAAGGCUCUGCAAAAAAAGGUAAACAACUAGAUGUGAGAACUACUACAAAAAAUAGUUCUUGGUGGAUACCGCUACCGACCUCAACGGUUUACCUACUAAGUCUACAGAAGGUAUGUAAAAGGAUAGUAAAGGAAGCUAGUAACCUCUACAGCUAUAUGCCACUAUACUAUCGCCAAUCAACACUAGCUAUCUGUAGAUAUAACAAGAUGCAACCUCUAACCAAAUCUCACUAGGGACUGUGAGCGCACCCAUCCCGCCCGUCGAAGCUACACCAACCACCACCACGCUGGGUAGUUGGUGGAGAGCAAGUCCAACCAGGACACUACAACAACAACGCAAAAGCACUAAGUCCGACUCCGGAGUGGCACUCGUGGGCGCUACCAAACCGAGUAUGCAAGCGUGUCUCUGCCGAGCUCAAUCAGGCUCUCACAGGCUAUAAUCAAAACAAAUGGGUCUAACUGGUCUGACAACCAAAACUCACGUGCCCUCGGCACAAUCUGAUAUAGAUACAGAAAUCUGGGUCCAUCGUCCACCGCGACGGCACCCGACAGUUCGAAACAAUCUACACACUACUGUAAAAAUAAACUCGGCAUUCCAGCACGAGCGUAAACUCAUCCUACACUAAUCUGGGCACCUACCGCAUACAAAUAGCGGGGAUACAUACACUAAUCUGGGCACCUACCGCAUACAAAUAGCGGGGAUACAAAUGAACCACAGCGCCUAAAACUAUCCGAGUAUCAAAUGCGCACUAACAGCGUGGAUACAAAGUGCAACAGCUUCAAAAGCUAUCCGAAUAUGAAAUGCGCACUAACAGCGAGGAUACAAUGCGCAACAGCUUCAAAAGCUAUCUGAGUAUCAAAUGCGCACUAACAGCGUGGAUACAAGGCGCAACAGCUUCAGAAACUAAAUCUGAUAAUUUUCAGAAAGUGAAGUGUAGAAUCUAUAUGUUUUCUCCUAAGUCAAUUCCAAAUCCAACAUGUAAAAUUAUACUACUUGUUUAACUCCAAAUUCAGAUUUUAAACUUAAUCCAUGAAUUUGAGUACUAGCAAGAAAAUAACACAUGAUACAUGUUGACGAUAAAAAACCUAGGAGGUAAUCCGGCGAUUUCGGUAAAUUUCAACCUACCUCGAAAAGCUAAUCCACGACAGCGAGAAGUCGGAAGGAGAGGAAACACACACUCGCCCGGCCUCCAACGGAGCAACCGCGACGUCCACGCGCUAGAACAGCUCCCCGGCGCAACGUCGACGUCAAUCCGAACUCCACCCGAAGUCUCUACCAAGCACACCAUUAAUUAGAGAGAG